rnacentral:rRNA from 1 species
CCUACGGGAGGCAGCAGUGGGGAAUCCUGCGCAAUGGGCGAAAGCCUGACGCAGCAACGCCGCGUGCGGGAUGAAGGCCUUCGGGUUGUAAACCGCUUUUAACAGGAACGAAAAUGACGGUACCUGUAGAAUAAGGUGCGGCCAACUACGUGCCAGCAGCCGCGGUGACACGUAGGCACCAAGCGUUGUCCGGAUUUAUUGGGCGUAAAGAGCUCGUAGGCGGUUCGAUAAGUCGGGUGUGAAAACUCUGGGCUUAACCCAGAGACGCCACUCGAUACUAUUGUGACUAGAGUUCGGUAGGGGAGCGGGGAAUUCCUAGUGUAGCGGUGAAAUGCGCAGAUAUUAGGAGGAACACCGGUGGCGAAGGCGCCGCUCUGGGCCGAAACUGACACUGAGGAGCGAAAGCGUGGGUAGCAAACAGGAUUAGAUACCCUGGUAGUCCACGCCGUAAACGGUGGGCACUAGGUGUGGGCUCCAACCAACGGAGUCCGCGCCGUCGCUAACGCACUAAGUGCCCCGCCUGGGGAGUACGGCCGCAGGUUAAAACUCAAAUGAAUUGACGGCUGAGACNGCGAGAGACACGAGGAGUUAG